AACGAACGCUGGCGGCAGGCCUAACACAUGCAAGUCGAGCGGCCCCUCCGGGGUUAGCGGCGGACGGGUGAGUAACGCGUGGGAAUAUGCCCUUCUCUACGGAAUAGUCCUUGGAAACUGGGGGUAAUACCGGAUACGCCCUUUGGGGGAAAGAUUUAUCGGGGAAGGAUUAGCCCGCGUUGGAUUAGGUAGUUGGUGGGGUAAUGGCCUACCAAGCCGUCGAUCCAUAGCUGGGUUGAGAGGAUGGGCAGCCACACUGGGACUGAGACACGGCGCGGACUCCUACGGGAGGGGGCAGUGGGGAAUCUUAGACAACGGGGGCAGCGCUGAACGAGCCAUGGCGGGUGAGUGAUGAAGGCCUGAGGGUAGUAAAGCUCUUUCAGCUGGGAAGGUAAUGACGGUACCAGCAGAAGAAGCCCCGGCUAACUCCGUG
rnacentral:rRNA from 1 species